GCCCCAGUAGCACAGCUGGUAGUGCGCCUCAUUCGUAAUGAGGAGGUCGGGGGUUCGAGUCCCUCCUGGGGCA
rnacentral:tRNA from 1 species